UCACUGACAACAUUGUGCAGCCCCCGCUCCACCCCUCUGUGGAACCCCCAUCAUCAGAGAUGGAACCCCGCUCCCGGUGCAGCACCCCCAGCCUGUGUCCUGUCCUGGGUCUGCCUGCUGCACAGCUUGCUGCGAUCAGUUCACACGGCCUGGCGUUGGGCUUGUUCAGCUUCUGUCCGUGUCAUGAGGACCGCCAGCAGUGUUGGUUGUAAGGCCAGUAGACAAGGCCACUACACUGAAAGCCUGCCUUCUGCAGCCCCUCGAGUUCUGCGUGGCUUCCAGAGUCCUCCGGUCUCCCGCUCUGGUCUCAGAGGAGCCUGCUGGUCACAGCAGGGAGAAGUGGCUGAUCAGAACAAUGGGAGCUCUUGUUUGGGAGUUGGCCUUGACCUCACAGCAAUCCUCCUGCCUCAGCCUCCCAGAGUGCCAGGAUUACAGGUGUGCACCCCUACGCCCAGUUUGGGAUGACGGCAUUUGCCCCAGUCUCUGAUUUCUGGUGUUGAUCACUGUUAAUAACAGAGCAUGAGAAGCCACCCAGAGCCUGACGCUGUGGGGAAGAUCCGAUUUUAUUCCUCUGCCUACAGGCAGGCUGACAUCAGAGGAUAGCAGUGAAUAUCUAAGGGGGACUGAGUAUAGAUAGGUUUUAAGGUUGGGGAUGUAAUUUUAAGGAAACUCAAGGAAUCUGGAUGAAAUGUUUGUGUUUAAGGCUGUAGGGCAAUCAGCGCAGGUUGAUACACAGAGCUGGCGUCAGGGCACUGAAAGGCGAACUUAGCCCCACAUUAAACUUUUUAUUGUUUAUUGAACUUUGCUUCUUGUUUACCAGGGACAAGACACUGCCAGUCCUGGGGAGUCCGCUGUUCACAGUGGACACCCAAGUCUCUCUCAGGCCACUCUCAGAGUAGUCCUGAUGCUCAUGUGUGCCCUCUUCCCUUGGUCAUUCUGGCUAGUGAUUUUUUUUUUUUUUUCCACAGAAGCAACUUUAAUUUUAAUUUCGGUGAUUUUAUUCCCUCAAUUUUACCUAUUUCUUUUUUCAGUGUUGACUCUUCUGGAUUUAGUUUGUUCCUUGCUAAAGUGAAAAUUUAAAAUUUAAUUUAGACAUAAAAUUUAGAUGAUUUUAGAUCUUCGAUUCCGGCUACUGGAAACCCCCCCCCCAAAAAAAAGUUGCUGGGCAUGGGCAUGCCUGUAAUCCUAGCACUCGGCGGGCUGAGGCAGGAGGCACACCGUGUGUGCCUGGUGCUCCACCUGUCCAGUUUGGGACCCCACAAUCAGUGACAGCAAUUGGGUCCUACACUCUCCUGGCCUCCAGCGCCCCAGACCCCGCUCCUCGAGGAGUAAGGGUCCCUGAGUUGGGUGUUGCCCCCAGCCACAGGAUGCCUGUGGCUGUUUCCCAGGCAUCCCUCUGGGACCAGUGCCUUCACCUGUAUCGGGCAGUGCCACGCAGGCCGGGAAACCCAGGAAAUGCCAGACACAUUGUUGUACCAGGGAUCCAGAUUUCCAACUCCCUGUGAGCUAAAACCACUCACUUGCCUGCAGACCCUGUCUGCACACUGACAGUGGAAGUGCGCAGGUCCGAGUGCCUGCAGCAUCUGCUGCGCUGAGACCUCUCCAACCCGCCAGGGUCUGUGGAGGUGCUCACAGCAGCAGCACAGCCGCGUGACCUGUUUGUCCAGAGCCCAGCAUAGUUCUCAAAAGCUGUGGUUCCUUCCACCCCACACUGGUCCAGACUCCCCACUAGCGGAGGCUGCAGGUUCUCGCCCCAGGUCCCAUGAAGGAGCUGUCGCCUCUUGUGCCUGUGGCUCUGCCCGGUGUCACCACAGCAGUGAACCUAGCAACAGAUUUUCCAGCACCUCCUAAUGCCACCGCCAACACAGCACCAGAUGGAGCAUGGUAUCCUUAGCUGGAGCUGGCAGCCACUGUUCAAGGCAGGUGAGUGAGUGGGCGGGGGGGGGGCUCUUCCUCCUCAGCCCAUACCCUAUUGACUGCAGGGCUCUGUGCACCUGGCUGGACCGAGGGGCUGGGGGAGCCUCAGACAGCAGCAUCCGGCACAGACAGCACGGCAGGAAGUACUCGAGUCCGUCUGGGCCUCAAACCCACUGUAGCAUUUGGAGAUCUGCACUCCCUCUCCAGUUGUCCACAGCAACUCUGGCCCUCGGGUCGGAGAGCCAGUCCGCAGGAGAGGCAGCGACAGCGCCAACGCAGCAGACAGGGUCACUGCCGGCACCCUGCGCCUCUCCCAUGCCGCUCGGCGCCCUCAGGAGUGCACAAAGGUCAAGCAGGAAUGCCCAGGCUCACCAAAAUGACAGUGAUACUCGGGAUUCAAUUAAAAUUAAUAAAAAUAUUUUAUUGAAUUUCA